GACGAACGCUGGCGGCGUGCUUAACACAUGCAAGUCGAACGAUGAUCAGGAGCUUGCUCCUGUGAUUAGUGGCGAACGGGUGAGUAACACGUGAGUAACCUGCCCCUGACCCUGGGAUAAGCGUUGGAAACGACGUCUAAUACUGGAUAUGAUCACUGGCCGCAUGGUCUGGUGGUGGAAAGAUUUUUUGGUUGGGGAUGGACUCGCGGCCUAUCAGCUUGUUGGUGAGGUAAUGGCUCACCAAGGCGACGACGGGUAGCCGGCCUGAGAGGGGGACCGGCCACACUGGGACUGAGACACGGCCCAGACUCCUACGGGAGGCAGCAGUGGGGAAUAUUGCACAAUGGGCGAAAGCCUGACGCAGCAACGCCGCGUGAGGGAUGACGGCCUUCGGGUUGUAAACCUCUUUUAGUAGGGAAGAAGCGAAAGUGACGGUACCUGCAGAAAAAGCACCGGCUAACUACGUGCCAGCCGCCGCAGUAA
rnacentral:rRNA from 1 species